ensembl:lncRNA
GCUUCAGAGCCUUUCACCUGCUGCUCCACACGACCCACUUGUGCCUGAACCGCUGCAGGUUAACCAACCAACCAACCAACCAACCAACCAACCAACCAACCAACCAACAACCACUCAUUCACUCAUCAGUGAAGCAAAAAUAAGGAGUGCUAUGGGGAACCUGGCUGAGAGUCUGACGGAGGUCAAGCGGGUGGAACGACACUUGGCUCCAGGUAAUAAUGAGGAUCCUGUUCCUCUGUUUGCUGCUCAUUGCCUCUGAGAGUUCAACGCUUGAAGAAGACGGCUAUGGCAAGUUUAGAAGACAGCACAUAGACA